GGUUAAGCGACUAAGCGUACACGGUGGAUGCCCUGGCAGUCAGAGGCGAUGAAGGGCGUACUAAUCUGCGAUAAGCGCCGGUAAGGUGAUAUGAACCGUUAUAACCGGCGAUACCCGAAUGGGGAAACCCAGUGUGAUUCGUCACACUAUCAUUAACUGAAUCCAUAGGUUAAUGAGGCGAACCGGGGGAACUGAAACAUCUAAGUACCCCGAGGAAAAGAAAUCAACCGAGAUUCCCCCAGUAGCGGCGAGCGAACGGGGAGGAGCCCAGAGCCUGAAUCAGCAUGUGUGUUAGUGGAAGCGUCUGGAAAGGCGCGCGAUACAGGGUGACAGCCCCGUACACAAAAGCGCAUGUGCUGUGAGCUCGAUGAGUAGGGCGGGACACGUGGUAUCCUGUCUGAAUAUGGGGGGACCAUCCUCCAAGGCUAAAUACUCCUGACUGACCGAUAGUGAACCAGUACCGUGAGGGAAAGGCGAAAAGAACCCCGGCGAGGGGAGUGAAAAAGAACCUGAAACCGUGUACGUACAAGCAGUGGGAGCACAGGUUUACCUGUGUGACUGCGUACCUUUUGUAUAAUGGGUCAGCGACUUAUAUUCUGUAGCAAGGUUAACCGAAUAGGGGAGCCGGAGGGAAACCGAGUCUUAAUUGGGCGUUAAGUUGCAGGGUAUAGACCCGAAACCCGGUGAUCUAGCCAUGGGCAGGUUGAAGGUUGGGUAACACUAACUGGAGGACCGAACCGACUAAUGUUGAAAAAUUAGCGGAUGACCUGUGGCUGGGGGUGAAAGGCCAAUCAAACCGGGAGAUAGCUGGUUCUCCCCGAAAGCUAUUUAGGUAGCGCCUCGUGAAUUCAUCUCCGGGGGUAGAGCACUGUUUCGGCUAGGGGGCCAUCCCGGCUUACCAACCCGAUGCAAACUGCGAAUACCGGAGAAUGUUAUCACGGGAGACACACGGCGGGUGCUAACGUCCGUCGUGAAGAGGGAAACAACCCAGACCGCCAGCUAAGGUCCCAAAGUCAUGGUUAAGUGGGAAACGAUGUGGGAAGGCCCAGACAGCCAGGAUGUUGGCUUAGAAGCAGCCAUCAUUUAAAGAAAGCGUAAUAGCUCACUGGUCGAGUCGGCCUGCGCGGAAGAUGUAACGGGGCUAAACCAUGCACCGAAGCUGCGGCAGCGACACUGUGUGUUGUUGGGUAGGGGAGCGUUCUGUAAGCCUGCGAAGGUGGCCUGUGAGGGUUGCUGGAGGUAUCAGAAGUGCGAAUGCUGACAUAAGUAACGAUAAAGCGGGUGAAAAGCCCGCUCGCCGGAAGACCAAGGGUUCCUGUCCAACGUUAAUCGGGGCAGGGUGAGUCGACCCCUAAGGCGAGGCCGAAAGGCGUAGUCGAUGGGAAACGGGUUAAUAUUCCCGUACUUGGUGUUACUGCGAAGGGGGGACGGAGAAGGCUAUGUUGGCCGGGCGACGGUUGUCCCGGUUUAAGCGUGUAGGUGUGUGUUCCAGGUAAAUCCGGUUCACUUUAACACUGAGGCGUGACGACGAGGCACUACGGUGCUGAAGCAACAAAUGCCCUGCUUCCAGGAAAAGCCUCUAAGCAUCAGGUAACAUCAAAUCGUACCCCAAACCGACACAGGUGGUCAGGUAGAGAAUACCAAGGCGCUUGAGAGAACUCGGGUGAAGGAACUAGGCAAAAUGGUGCCGUAACUUCGGGAGAAGGCACGCUGACACGUAGGUGAAGUGAUUUACUCAUGGAGCUGAAGUCAGUCGAAGAUACCAGCUGGCUGCAACUGUUUAUUAAAAACACAGCACUGUGCAAACACGAAAGUGGACGUAUACGGUGUGACGCCUGCCCGGUGCCGGAAGGUUAAUUGAUGGGGUCAGCGCAAGCGAAGCUCCUGAUCGAAGCCCCGGUAAACGGCGGCCGUAACUAUAACGGUCCUAAGGUAGCGAAAUUCCUUGUCGGGUAAGUUCCGACCUGCACGAAUGGCGUAAUGAUGGCCAGGCUGUCUCCACCCGAGACUCAGUGAAAUUGAACUCGCUGUGAAGAUGCAGUGUACCCGCGGCAAGACGGAAAGACCCCGUGAACCUUUACUAUAGCUUGACACUGAACAUUGAGCCUUGAUGUGUAGGAUAGGUGGGAGGCUUUGAAGUGUGGACGCCAGUCUGCAUGGAGCCGACCUUGAAAUACCACCCUUUAAUGUUUGAUGUUCUAACGUGGACCCGUUACCCGGGUUGCGGACAGUGUCUGGUGGGUAGUUUGACUGGGGCGGUCUCCUCCUAAAGAGUAACGGAGGAGCACGAAGGUUGGCUAAUCCUGGUCGGACAUCAGGAGGUUAGUGCAAUGGCAUAAGCCAGCUUGACUGCGAGCGUGACGGCGCGAGCAGGUGCGAAAGCAGGUCAUAGUGAUCCGGUGGUUCUGAAUGGAAGGGCCAUCGCUCAACGGAUAAAAGGUACUCCGGGGAUAACAGGCUGAUACCGCCCAAGAGUUCAUAUCGACGGCGGUGUUUGGCACCUCGAUGUCGGCUCAUCACAUCCUGGGGCUGAAGUAGGUCCCAAGGGUAUGGCUGUUCGCCAUUUAAAGUGGUACGCGAGCUGGGUUUAGAACGUCGUGAGACAGUUCGGUCCCUAUCUGCCGUGGGCGCUGGAGAACUGAGGGGGGCUGCUCCUAGUACGAGAGGACCGGAGUGGACGCAUCACUGGUGUUCGGGUUGUCAUGCCAAUGGCACUGCCCGGUAGCUAAAUGCGGAAGAGAUAAGUGCUGAAAGCAUCUAAGCACGAAACUUGCCCCGAGAUGAGUUCUCCCUGAGACUUAGAGUCUCCUGAAGGAACGUUGAAGACGACGACGUUGAUAGGCCGGGUGUGUAAGCGCAGCGAUGCGUUGAGCUAACCGGUACUAAUGAACCGUGAGGCUUAACCUU
rnacentral:rRNA from 1 species